rnacentral:rRNA from 1 species
UACGUAGGGUGCAAGCGUUAAUCGGAAUUACUGGGCGUAAAGCGUGCGCAGGCGGCUAUGCAAGACAGAUGUGAAAUCCCCGGGCUCAACCUGGGAACUGCAUUUGUGACUGCAUGGCUAGAGUACGGCAGAGGGGGAUGGAAUUCCGCGUGUAGCAGUGAAAUGCGUAGAUAUGCGGAGGAACACCGAUGGCGAAGGCAAUCCCCUGGGCCUGUACUGGCGCUCAUGCACGAAAGCGUGGGGAGCAAACAGG